CUAUAAAGUUCCUCACCUUGCUCCAAUGUAAUUGGUUCUGAAGAGAUUUGGGCAAGCCUUACUGUGUGACUUGGAGCACUCUGGAUUAACUGGAGAAGAUGGUGUGCCAACCUCUGCUGUGCUGCUCUGAAAAUGGCCACUGUUUUCUGCCGGAGUCUACAGAGGUGAUCCAAAAGAUAAAAAGCUGCCCUCUGGAAAAACCAGAACUAUACUUUGAGAGCACACUCCAGAGAGGCUGAGUUGUGUCUCCUGGAAUGACAAACCCACACGAGCGGAGCGGUGUCACACGAUAGGAGUUGGAAGGAGCGGAAAUCUGCCGGAUCCUGCUGGCAGCGCCGAUGCCAACGGCGUUGGCUGGAGGUGUGAAUGCUCCUGCAGGAGCCCUUGUGCUGGGACUGUGCUCCUCAUGAACAGCUGCCCUCCUGGCCCUGCAGCACAGCCGGCCUGCUGGAAGAGCUGCCGCAGAAAGCUCGCAGAGAAAAGAGCACACAAGCGUUAUUUCAGCUGGAAACGACAGGAAGAUGUGCUUCCCGUCGUAACUAUAAAAAGUAUUUGAAUAUUUAUGUAGGAUUUAUGCUUAUCUCUAUGAGGGGGGGAUUUAUAUAGAUUAUUUACUGAACAUAAAGAGGAAAAUACCCCAAAUAUACCAUUAUGUUAGUUGUGCCUCCAGAAGCAUCCAUUAUGCAGUUCAUUUUCCAAUUAAUCUUUACUGUCAAACAAAUGUUAUUCUCCUUCUCCAUUCCAGUAGUAACUUCCAUCCUUUGAAACAGUUUUGCAAUGGGGCAAUUAAUGACAUUAUCUUAGAUGAUUUUGUUGCCAAUAUGUACUAUGUAUAACAGCCACUGGGAACCUUGCUACUUAAGAAUGACCAUUUACAAAAGGACAAAAUACAACAGUCUUCAAAAAGGUUGUUUUUGUGACAAACUAUAGCCAAGAUGCAUAUCUGAAAGAGGGAAAAUGGGAGAUAAAGAAAUGGCAAUGGUUUGUUAUUGCUGCUUUCUUCUCCUCCCCAG